rnacentral:rRNA from 1 species
AUUGAACGCUGGCGGCAUGCCUUACACAUGCAAGUCGAACGGCAGCGGACCUUCGGGUGCCGGCGAGUGGCGAACGGGUGAGUAAUAUAUCGGGAACGUACCUUUCAGUGGGGGAUAACGUAGCGAAAGUUACGCUAAUACCGUAUAUUCUGUGAGCAGGAAAGCAGGGGAUCGCAAGACCUUGCGCUGAUUGAGCGGCCGAUAUCAGAUUAGCUAGUUGGUGAGGUAAAGGCUCACCAAGGCGACGAUCUGUAGCGGGUCUGAGAGGAUGAUCCGCCACACUGGAACUGAGACACGGUCCAGACUCCUACGGGAGGCAGCAGUGGGGAAUUUUGGACAAUGGGCGCAAGCCUGAUCCAGCCAUGCCGCGUGAGUGAAGAAGGCCUCGG